GACAGAGGUGCCAAGCGUUAGGCGGAAUCACUGGGCUUAGAGCGUGUGUAGGCGGAUCGUUAAGUACCUUGUGAAAUCCCACGGCUCAACCGUGGAACUGCUGGGUAUACUGGCGAUCUUGAGCCACCUAGGGGCGAGCGGAACAAGCGGUGGAGCGGUGAAAUGCGUAGAUAUCGCUUGGAACGCCAAUGGUGAAAACAGCUCGCUGGGGGUGUGCUGACGCUGAGACACGAAAGCCAGGGGAGCGAACGGG
rnacentral:rRNA from 1 species